rnacentral:tRNA from 1 species
UGGGGCGUAGCUUAGCGGCAGAGCAACUGGCUUAUAUCCAGCGCGCGGCGGUUCGAUUCCGUUCGCCCCAA